rnacentral:rRNA from 1 species
CCUACGGGGGGCUGCAGUGGGGAAUAUUGCACAAUGGGGGCAACCCUGAUGCAGCGACGCCGCGUGAGUGAAGAAGUAAUUCGUUAUGUAAAGCUCUAUCAGCAGGGAAGAAAAUGACGGUACCUGAGUAAGAAGCCCCGGCUAACUACGUGCCAGCAGCCGCGGUAAUACGGAGGGGGCAAGCGUUAUCCGGAUUUACUGGGUGUAAAGGGAACGUAGACGGCAGUGCAAGUCUGGAGUGAAAGGCGGGGGCUCAACCCCCGGACUGCUCUGGAAACUGGACGGCUGGAGUGCAGGAGAGGGAAGUGGAAUGCCGAGUGUAGCGGUGAAAUGCGUAGAUAUGAGGAGGAACACCAGUGGCGAAGGCGGCUGACUGGACUGUAACUGACGCUGAGGCUCGAAAGCGUGGGGAGCAAACAGGAUUAGAUACCCGUGUAGUC